rnacentral:rRNA from 1 species
GGGUUGUGAGGUUAAGCGACUAAGCGUACACGGUGGAUGCCCUGGCAGUCAGAGGCGAUGAAGGACGUGCUAAUCUGCGAAAAGCGUCGGUAAGGUGAUAUGAACCGUUAUAACCGGCGAUGUCCGAAUGGGGAAACCCAGUGCAAUUCGUUGCACUAUCGUUAACUGAAUACAUAGGUUAACGAGGCGAACCGGGGGAACUGAAACAUCUAAGUACCCCGAGGAAAAGAAAUCAACCGAGAUUCCCCAGUAGCGGCGAGCGAACGGGGAGCAGCCCAGAGUCUGAAUCAGCUUGUGUGUUAGUGGAACGGUCUGGAAAGUCCGACGGUACAGGGUGAUAGUCCCGUACACCAAAAUGCACAGGCUGUGAACUCGAAGAGUAGGGCGGGACACGUGGUAUCCUGUCUGAAUAUGGGGGGACCAUCCUCCAAGGCUAAAUACUCCUGACUGACCGAUAGUGAACCAGUACCGUGAGGGAAAGGCGAAAAGAACCCCGGCGAGGGGAGUGAAAAAGAACCUGAAACCGUGUACGUACAAGCAGUGGGAGCACCUUCGGGUGUGACUGCGUACCUUUUGUAUAAUGGGUCAGCGACUUAUAUUCUGUAGCAAGGUUAACCGUAUAGGGGAGCCGCAGGGAAACCGAGUCUUAACUGGGCGUUAAGUUGCAGGGUAUAGACCCGAAACCCGGUGAUCUAGCCAUGGGCAGGUUGAAGGUUGGGUAACACUAACUGGAGGACCGAACCGACUAAUGUUGAAAAAUUAGCGGAUGACUUGUGGCUGGGGGUGAAAGGCCAAUCAAACCGGGAGAUAGCUGGUUCUCCCCGAAAGCUAUUUAGGUAGCGCCUCGUGAAUUCAUCUUCGGGGGUAGAGCACUGUUUCGGCUAGGGGGUCAUCCCGACUUACCAACCCGAUGCAAACUACGAAUACCGAAGAAUGUUAUCACGGGAGACACACGGCGGGUGCUAACGUCCGUCGUGAAGAGGGAAACAACCCAGACCGCCAGCUAAGGUCCCAAAGUCAUGGUUAAGUGGGAAACGAUGUGGGAAGGCACAGACAGCCAGGAUGUUGGCUUAGAAGCAGCCAUCAUUUAAAGAAAGCGUAAUAGCUCACUGGUCGAGUCGGCCUGCGCGGAAGAUGUAACGGGGCUAAACCAUGCACCGAAGCUGCGGCAGCGACACUAUGUGUUGUUGGGUAGGGGAGCGUUCUGUAAGCCUGCGAAGGUGUGCUGUGAGGCAUGCUGGAGGUAUCAGAAGUGCGAAUGCUGACAUAAGUAACGAUAAAGCGGGUGAAAAGCCCGCUCGCCGGAAGACCAAGGGUUCCUGUCCAACGUUAAUCGGGGCAGGGUGAGUCGACCCCUAAGGCGAGGCCGAAAGGCGUAGUCGAUGGGAAACAGGUUAAUAUUCCUGUACUUGGUGUUACUGCGAAGGGGGACGGAGAAGGCUAUGUUAGCCGGGCGACGGUUGUCCCGGUUUAAGCAUGUAGGCUGGUUGUCCAGGCAAAUCCGGAUAAUCAAGGCUGAGGUGUGAUGACGAGGCACUACGGUGCUGAAGUAACAAAUGCCCUGCUUCCAGGAAAAGCCUCUAAGCAUCAGGUAACAUCAAAUCGUACCCCAAACCGACACAGGUGGUCAGGUAGAGAAUACCAAGGCGCUUGAGAGAACUCGGGUGAAGGAACUAGGCAAAAUGGUGCCGUAACUUCGGGAGAAGGCACGCUGGUGUGUAGGUGAAGUCCCUGCGGAUGGAGCUGAGACCAGUCGAAGAUACCAGCUGGCUGCAACUGUUUAUUAAAAACACAGCACUGUGCAAACACGAAAGUGGACGUAUACGGUGUGACGCCUGCCCGGUGCCGGAAGGUUAAUUGAUGGGGUUAUCCGUAAGGAGAAGCUCUUGAUCGAAGCCCCGGUAAACGGCGGCCGUAACUAUAACGGUCCUAAGGUAGCGAAAUUCCUUGUCGGGUAAGUUCCGACCUGCACGAAUGGCGUAAUGAUGGCCAGGCUGUCUCCACCCGAGACUCAGUGAAAUUGAACUCGCUGUGAAGAUGCAGUGUACCCGCGGCAAGACGGAAAGACCCCGUGAACCUUUACUAUAGCUUGACACUGAACAUUGAGCCUUGAUGUGUAGGAUAGGUGGGAGGCUUUGAAGCGUGGACGCCAGUCUGCGUGGAGCCAACCUUGAAAUACCACCCUUUAAUGUUUGAUGUUCUAACGUUGGCCCCUUACCGGGGUUGCGGACAGUGUCUGGUGGGUAGUUUGACUGGGGCGGUCUCCUCCCAAAGCGUAACGGAGGAGCACGAAGGUUAGCUAAUCCUGGUCGGACAUCAGGAGGUUAGUGCAAUGGCAUAAGCUAGCUUGACUGCGAGCGUGACGGCGCGAGCAGGUGCGAAAGCAGGUCAUAGUGAUCCGGUGGUUCUGAAUGGAAGGGCCAUCGCUCAACGGAUAAAAGGUACUCCGGGGAUAACAGGCUGAUACCGCCCAAGAGUUCAUAUCGACGGCGGUGUUUGGCACCUCGAUGUCGGCUCAUCACAUCCUGGGGCUGAAGUAGGUCCCAAGGGUAUGGCUGUUCGCCAUUUAAAGUGGUACGCGAGCUGGGUUUAGAACGUCGUGAGACAGUUCGGUCCCUAUCUGCCGUGGGCGCUGGAGAAUUGAGGGGGGCUGCUCCUAGUACGAGAGGACCGGAGUGGACGCAUCACUGGUGUUCGGGUUGUCAUGCCAAUGGCACUGCCCGGUAGCUAAAUGCGGAAGAGAUAAGUGCUGAAAGCAUCUAAGCACGAAACUUGCCCCGAGAUGAGUUCUCCCUGAGACUUUAAGUCUCCUGAAGGAACGUUGAAGACGACGACGUUGAUAGGCCGGGUGUGUAAGCGCAGCGAUGCGUUGAGCUAACCGGUACUAAUGAACCGUGAGGCUUAACCUUACAACGCCGAAG